GUAGCGGUGGUGCACUGGGUAGCACUGCUGCCUCACAGCCAGAAGGUUGUGGGUUCAAAUUCAGCCUGGAGCC